rnacentral:rRNA from 1 species
AAGCGGAAUUUCCAUGUGUAGCGGUAAAAUGCGUAGAUAUAUGGAGGAACACCGGGGCGAAGGCGGCUUCCUGGUCCGUUACUGACGCUCAGGCACGAAAGCGUGGGGAGCAAAUGGAUUAGAUACCCUAGUAGUCCACGCCCUAAACGAUGAGAACUAGGUGUCGGAAUUUUCGUGCCGCAGCUAACGCAUUAAGUUCUCCGCCUGAGGAGUAUGCACGCAAGUGUGAAACUUAAGGAAUUGACGGGGGCCCGCACAAGCGGUGGAGUAUGUGGUUUAAUUCGAUGCAACGCGAGAACCUUACCAGGCCUUGACAUCCCCUGCAAUACUAUAGAGAUAUAGCGGAGGUUAUCAGGUGACAGGUGGUGCAUGGUUGUCGUCAGCUCGUGUCGUGAGAUGUUGGGUUAAGUCCCGCACGAGCGCAACCCUUGUCGCUAGUUACCAUCAUUCAGUUGGGGACUCUAGCAAGACUGCCGUGAUAAACCGGAGGAAGGUGGGGAUGACGUCAAAUCAUCAUGCCCCUUAUGGCCUGGGCACACACGUACUACAAUGGCGCACACAGCGAGAUGCAAAGUGGUGACACUGAGCGGAACUCUAAAGUGCGUCUCAGUUCGGAUUGGAGUCUGCAACCCGACUCCAUGAAGCCGGAAUCGCUGUAAUCGCGGAUCAGCAUGCCGCGGUGAAUACGUUCUCGGGCCUUGCACACACCGCCCGU